AAUCCCGGGCUGCUCUACCUUCAAGGAAAAGGGGUCCUCCUUGAGAUCAUACAGAUGGUGCAAGGACAAUGUUAAUAUGGUCAUUGUGGUGGGUGAGGGUGCCGGCCAAGAUCUCAUCGCCUAAAGCAUCAAUUUUGUGGACCUCACCAUCCCUUCCUUGGUUUGAGUGAGUACUUGGUCUCCUCUCUCUCUCUCUCUCUCUCUCUCUCUCUCUCUCUCUCUCUAAGAUGGUCCGGCCAUCGAGCCGUGGGUGAUUGUGUUGCUGGCAAUCGAGAGGCUGAUUUAGUGUUUGGAUCUUUGGUGGCCUUCUUUUGUGAUUGUGAUUGUCUUUCUUGUUGAUGAAAUUGGUCUCUUGUAAUUAUAUGAUGGGCCCUUUUUUGCUGUGCAUGCUAUAUGGUUUGGUUAUGGUCCAUGUUUAGUCUUGAUAGGAACCUUAUGCUGGGAUUUUGACUUGUUAAUGGCUAUCAAAUAAAACAAAAAGCUUACCUAUUGGUGUAGUGGUUCUGUGUAUUGAUAGAACUGGUUGAUUCUUGUACAACAGAAGGAAAGGGGGUUCCGUUCUCUGUUACUUUUAUUCUAUCUUAAUGCGUGUUGGUAAUACACCUUAGUAAAAUCUUGAUUUUCUGUCAGAGGUAAGGUAACCAAUGUCAAAUGGGAAAUGGACAACCUUUUCCAUGCAGAAAAGUAAAGUCCUUAAUACAGUCAUAUAAAAUAUGAGAUGUCCACCACUAUUGUCUCUGGUGUAUUUUAUAUAUGCUUCAGAAAAUGUAAAUCAUGUGCUGGCUGAUAUAUUUAGCGAAGAAUAUGGAGGAUUUUGUUUGUCUCAAGUGAUGAGUGAAUGAAACCGUGGGCUGUACACUAACCUGUAAUCUGCUAUUGGGUCUAGCAAAGUUGGAUUUGUUUCCAAUCUGGCACAUGUUUAUAGGUUUCAUUUAAUUGAGAGCAAAAUGGCUAUGUUUGAACUGAAGCUUGGUUUAUCUACAUUUUGUAGAAGUUUUUGAUUAUUUGAUAGUUGAUAUCUCUUCUAUUGCGAGCAGCAGAGGAGGAAUGGAUCCAGGACUGUCCGCUGCGGAUUCGCCGCCUCACCUAUGUCGGUCUUGUGCGUGCUUGGGGUUCUUCGCCGAGCACCAACACCGCCAUGGAGCCGGCGAGCUCACACACCUGCACCUUCAGAAGCACCACGUUAGGUACUGCAACAUCAAGUGCUACGGCGAGGUUGCUGGGCGCUAGCCGUGGCGUCCGACGCGUGUAAUGGUUGAAGGUUUUUUGGUUUAGUGCUCGUGCAACGCCGGCGCUAGUGGCGCUGUACGGCUUCGGCUACAGUCGUUCUGGUAAGUUCCUAAUUUUCUUUAUACCAGCUAUCCUUUUUGCGCUUUUCUUUUGAUUUUACGUUUGGGCAUACAUGUUACAUAUCCAAAAUGGGUGGAAUUGAAAUGUUGGAUAUUAUAUCCAAACUGUAGGGUUUAAUUUUUUUGGGAUUGUGUAAGGUUAAAUCUUUGUUCCUAGUGGAACAUAUCGUUUUUCAAAUUGGUAAUAUGGUUGCUUUGUCCAUGAUAAUGCUAUAAACAGUUUGUAUGGAUUUGUGCUGGUGUUCAUCCAUCCCUACAAAUAUUUUGCAUCCUCAUUUUGCCAUUGCCAUUGAAUAUGUUUCUUAAUAAUGUGGUUUCUCUUUAUGCAUGGAUAAAAUUUUAUUGUAUCAAUUCAUUUACAAGAUCAUUUGUGAAUUUUGAGAAAAGAUAUAAUUGAUAGCUAUGAAUGUAUUUGGUUUGCUUUUGAGAGCAAGUUUUGUCCAGUAGUUUGCACUUUUUUAUUCUUUCUUCUUGUUUUGUUCUGGCAUGUUAAUCUCAUGUUUGGCCACAACUGAAUCUUCAAUGCAAGGAUUAUGUGUUCCACUCAUAUAAUCUCAUGUUUGAUCGUUCAAUGCAAAGAUAAAAUUGAUGAUCGAUCCUAUAAGUUCAUUACAAUAGCUGACAUGAUAGUAAUGUCGAGUCAAGCGACUGACCACUUUGCUCUUGUUAUCUCAGGAUUGUUGCUUAAUCCCAGGGAUGCUCUACCUUGAAGGAAAAGGGGUCCUCCUUGAGAUCAUAUAGAUGGCGCAAGGACAAUGGUCAUAUGGUCGUUGUGGUGGCUGAGGAUGCUGGCCAAGAUCUCAUCGCCCAAAGCAUGAAGUUUGUGGACCUCACCAUCCCUUCCUCUGUUUGGGCGAGUCCUUGGUCUUCUCUCUCUCUCUCUCUCUCUCUCUCUGAGAUGGUCCGGCCAUUGAGCUGUGGGUGAUUGUGGUGCUGGCAAUCAAGCCGCUGAUUUAGUGUUUGGAUUUGUGGUGGCCUUCUUUUGUGAUUGUGAUUGUGGUCGUCUUUCUUGUUGAUCAAAUUGGUCUCUUGUAAUUCUACGAUGGGCCCUUUUAACUCUGCAUGCUACAGGGUUUGGUUAUGGUCCAUGUUUAUUCUUGAUAGGAUCCUUAGGCUGGGAUUUUGACUUGUUAAUGGCUAUCAAAUAAAACAAAAUGCUUACCUAUUGGUGUAGUGCUGUUGUGUAUUGAUAGAAUUAGUUGAUUCUUGGUCUUGUUUGAUAGGAUAGAAUAAGAAGAGAUAUUCUCUACUUGGUCUUGUACAAGUCUUAGUGAUGUGCUUUCUGUUGCCGUGGCAUACUUGCGAAUAUGAUCCCGGCCUAUUCCCAUGUGUUGUGUUGUGCACAAUGAAGAUGAUAAUAUGAUCGUCUGACUGAUUCCAACU
rnacentral:lncRNA from 1 species